rnacentral:rRNA from 1 species
UACGGGGGGGGCAAGCGUUGUUCGGAAUUACUGGGCGUAAAGGGCUCGUAGGCGGCCAACUAAGUCGGACGUGAAAUCCCCAGGCUCAACUUGGGAACUGCGUCCGAUACUGGAUGGCUUGAAUCCGGGAGAGGGAUGUGGAAUUCCAGGUGUAGCGGUGAAAUGCGUAGAUAUCUGGAGGAACACCGGUGGCGAAGGCGGCAUCCUGGACCGGUAUUGACGCUGAGGCGCGAAAGCCAGGGGAGCAAACGGG